CCGGGGAAGACGGGACCGGUCAGAGAGAGCCAUGGGCUAGAUUUGGCUUUGCCACUUCCUUCAUCGGGACGGCUUCCAUUUUCAGAAAGAAGAGAUGGGAAAAAAAUACUGCACUCUAUUUUGAGGACAAAGCUGAAUUCCACCAGAACGCAGAGUGAGCACACGUCUGACUUGCGAUUUGGUAGGGAGCAAAGCGCCAGCUCCGGAGGUUCGGGAAGG